AGACCCGAAACCCGGUGAUCUAGCCAUGGGCAGGUUGAAGGUUGGGUAACACUAACUGGAGGACCGAACCGACUAAUGUUGAAAAAUUAGCGGAUGACCUGUGGCUGGGGGUGAAAGGCCAAUCAAACCGGGAGAUAGCUGGUUCUCCCCGAAAGCUAUUUAGGUAGCGCCUCGUGAAUUCAUCUCCGGGGGUAGAGCACUGUUUCGGCUAGGGGGCCAUCCCGGCUUACCAACCCGAUGCAAACUGCGAAUACCGGAGAAUGUUAUCACGGGAGACACACGGCGGGUGCUAACGUCCGUCGUGAAGAGGGAAACAACCCAGACCGCCAGCUAAGGUCCCAAAGUCAUGGUUAAGUGGGAAACGAUGUGGGAAGGCCCAGACAGCCAGGAUGUUGGCUUAGAAGCAGCCAUCAUUUAAAGAAAGCGUAAUAGCUCACUGGUCGAGUCGGCCUGCGCGGAAGAUGUAACGGGGCUAAACCAUGCACCGAAGCUGCGGCAGCGACACUCAGGUGUUGUUGGGUAGGGGAGCGUUCUGUAAGCCUGCGAAGGUGUGUCGUGAGGCAUGCUGGAGGUAUCAGAAGUGCGAAUGCUGACAUAAGUAACGAUAAAGCGGGUGAAAAGCCCGCUCGCCGGAAGACCAAGGGUUCCUGUCCAACGUUAAUCGGGGCAGGGUGAGUCGACCCCUAAGGCGAGGCCGAAAGGCGUAGUCGAUGGGAAACGGGUUAAUAUUCCCGUACUUGGUGUUACUGCGAAGGGGGGACGGAGAAGGCUAUGUUGGCCGGGCGACGGUUGUCCCGGUUUAAGCGUGUAGGUGUGUGUUCCAGGUAAAUCCGGUUCACUUUAACACUGAGGCGUGACGACGAGGCACUACGGUGCUGAAGCAACAAAUGCCCUGCUUCCAGGAAAAGCCUCUAAGCAUCAGGUAACAUCAAAUCGUACCCCAAACCGACACAGGUGGUCAGGUAGAGAAUACCAAGGCGCUUGAGAGAACUCGGGUGAAGGAACUAGGCAAAAUGGUGCCGUAACUUCGGGAGAAGGCACGCUGACAC
rnacentral:rRNA from 1 species